rnacentral:rRNA from 1 species
AUUGAACGCUGGCGGCAGGCCUAACACAUGCAAGUCGAACGAGUGGCGGACGGGUGAGUAAUGUCUGGGAAACUGCCUGAUGGAGGGGGAUAACUACUGGAAACGGUAGCUAAUACCGCAUACCAUCAGAUGUGCCCAGAUGGGAUUAGCUUGUUGGUGGGGUAACGGCUCACCAAGGCGACGAUCCCUAGCUGGUCUGAGAGGAUGACCGGCCACAUGGGAACGGAGACACGGUCCAGACUCCUACGGGAGGCAGCAUUGGGUAAUAUUGCACAAUGGGGGCAAGCCUGAUGCAGCCAGGCCGCGUGUAUGAAGAAGGCGUUCGGGUUGUAAAUUUCUUUCAGCGGGGAGGCUUUACCCGCAGAAGAAGCACCGUCUAACUCCGUGCCAGCAGCCGCGGUAAUAC